AUAUGUUACAGUUUCUGAACUGGAGUAUCGGCACGUUUCUGGCAAGACAGUGAUGGAGUGAGUGAUGAUGAGAGUGUUUUUUCUUUCUCGGGUCACUCUGCCUGGGUGGGAAACGACCGAUGGGUUAAAAAAAAUGUAAUAACGUAUUAUAAGAAUAAAUACAAAUUUUCUGACUAAAUGUCAAACUUUAAUGUGAUUAUUUAUUCAGGCAUUAUGUUUCCAAACUAUGAAAUACAUUUGUUGGUGAUAUAUACAUUUUAGAUUAACGCUUUUUAUUUUGGUGAUUAUACAGUGAGGCUGGUGAGUCAGCAGCUAUUGUUGGUGUUGGUGAGUGUGUUGGUGGCGGCGUUGGUGGUGAGAUUGGCCAGGGAUCCUCAUCCAUACCCUCUCCCCAACAUCAUCAAGUCACCACUACACACACUCUCGUGCUUCCUCUGCCUCUCCAACUACACCAACACAAACGAGGGGAGUGGAAAGCAAACUCUGCAGAAGAGCGGGGAGAAGGGUGAGGAGGUGGAAUUGGGUGAAGGCAGCAGCAGCGGGGGAGAGAGGAGAGGUCUGGAUGAUAGCCACACUCAUCAGUGGAUGCUGCUGGCUGCUGUCCUCGACCGUCUUGUACUCAUCCUUUAUCUUGUUAUAUGUAUCAUUACUCUCAUCCGCUUUACCAGCAUCCUCUAGUGCCCACCUGCCCACCCACUGCACUUACCCACCUGCCCACCCAUAUACUUUUACCUUCUCACCCUCUGCCUUCAGCCACCUGUCCACCUUCUGCCUUCAGCCACCUGCCCACUAUCUGCCUUCAACCACCUGCCCACCCUCUGCCUUCAACCACCUGCCCAUUCUUUACCUUCAAUCACCUGCCCACUCUCUGCCUUCAACCACCUGGCCACCCUCUGCCUUCAACCACCUGCCCACUCUCUGCCUCCAACCACCUGCCCACCCUCUGCCUUCAGCCACCAGCCCACCCUCUGCCUUCAACCACCUGCCCACCCUCUGCCUUCAGCCACCUGUCAACCUAUCUGGCUUAGUGUCAUGAGUUGCCAACCACCAUCCUGGGUUGCCCACUAUUUACUCGUACCCCGCCCACAUGCAAUAUCCACAAAGCACCACAUACUAUCUACAACACACACCACUCACCUGGAUUAUAUCCCACAUACCUAGAGUACACACCAUCUACCUGGAUUAUCUCCUAUAUGGAGUACACACACCGGAAAUGUCUCCUUAAUAUGUGGAGUACACACUACUCACCUGGGGUUCUCCCAUAUGAGUACACACCACCCACAAUCCACCUGGAAUAAUUGCUACAACCCAGAUAUCACCUAGGGGUGCCUAGGUUCCCCCUAGUGCCACCUGAGGUAACUACAUCUGCCUUAGUGCCACCUAUGGCACAGGUCGCUCCUGUUGUGGACAAACACUGUUACUUCAUUGUAUUUUUUAAUAAUAGGUUUAAGCCUGACGUGAUGUAUAGGGAAUCCCAAACGUCUUUCAACCCCCGAGUACUAUUAUCUAGUAACUGAAGGGCUUAUCAAAACUUGUAAACUCCUGAGUACUAGUAACUAGUAUCUAGUAAGUGGUAUCAAGUAACGAAAGGGUCCAACUAAACUUGUAAAAUAUACUAAAGUUUUAAUGGUAGUUUAUCUGAUGUUGAGGAGGUUGUCCAACGAGUUAUUAAUUUUGUACAACCGAUAAAAUGUGCUUUUAAAAUCUUUAAAAUUUUACACCGGGGUUGACAGAACCUUUGUGACACCCAAGAGUGCAUGUAAUACCCUUAGUGCAUCUUAUCCAGAGUGCGUAUAGUGACUACCAGUGCUUCUAAUGUGAUGUAGAUUGUAGAUAUUGUCUCUUAGUCGCUUUAUUGCGAUACUGAGUACCUACCAUGUUUCCAAGUGCAUCAUACGUGAUGAGAGUAAACAUAAUGAUUCCUAAACAACGCCUAGUUCUUCCUACGUGAUGUCAAGUACAUACAAUGACUCCUUCAUCAGUCCUAGUGGUUCAUACGUAAAGUAUGAACCACUAGUAAUGUCCUCAAGUGUUUCGUCAUAUGUUUAGUAAAAGGAAACCAGUGCAACUAAUGUGGCAUUUUAUUAUGGCAAAGUUUCGCUCUCUGGAGAGCGAAACGUCGCCACAAUAAAAUAUCACAUUACUUGCACUUGUGUCCUUGCAGUAAACAUAUUGUGGGUAAUUCUACCAAUAUUAAUGGUUCAUCAUAGUACUUGCCUUGCAUCGUAUUAUUCCUUGUUAUAAUACAACUAUAUAGAAUACAUUUGCAUGUAAUAUUUUCUGCAAGCUUUUAAUAGCCAGGAAGCUGUCAGCUUGAGCUGUAACAUUGUGUCCAGCGAACGUGUCAGCUUCAAGGCGCCCUCCUGUUAUAUACUAAUGGGAAAGCGUUAGAUCCGUAAGGGAAAUGGGAGGAUUGCGACGGUAAUGAGGUCUGAAACAAGGAAGGGGAGGGUAUCUCCAGUUCCUUAGAUCAAGAGCCCUUCACCAUCGUCAAGACACCAUGAUGACAUUGUAUUUAACGUAUUACUUCAAUAAAAUGUUGUAAGACAAA